rnacentral:lncRNA from 1 species
CCAUUUCAAACAGGCACACCUCUUUCAUUUUAAGUUCAAAUAAAGUGGCAAUCAUCGCAUGUCAAAGCAACACUUUAUGGUGUCUUCUACUAAAAAAUCAACAUACCUUUAAUGGCAUAUCAGAAAGAACUGGUUCCUGGAACUUCGGAUGUACCAAAACAGGUACUUCAGAUCUGACAAACAGACAAAAUGUACCCUCUUUUUAAAAUUUGGUGCAGUUUUUAUAAUAUUUAAAAUUAAAAGUCCAAAAGUGUUCUACAAUGAUCACCAGUCCUUCAGCUUUCAUUUGAUGCCAAAAAAUACCUAAAUAUCCUACAUAUUUUGAAAGUUACACUCAUGCGUAGGAACUAUUUUGUGUUAAGUAUGUACUACUUUCUGGUAUGUGCUUUCUGGCCGUGCCCGAAUUAUUGGUGUUACACCUAUAACAGAACCAAACUUGCUAUAUUGACUUGUGCAUUACUUUAUUUCAUUCUAUGACCUAUUUUAAGCAAUAAAAAACAUAUCAAGCUUUAGUCCAAAUACUAUUUUACUAAUUUUAAGCUCAAAUUGGACUGGUAGUAAUAUAUGGGUUAUUCAAAGAAAACUGCAUAUGGAUAUUAUAUUUUGGCCAAUAUACUUUUUUAUUCUCAAUAUUAUUGUUUUAUUUAUUAAUAUCUUUUAGGAAGGCUAUGUGUUUACCAAUAGUCAUAUUGUUAUCAGAGGUUCUCCAUUAAAUAAAAAUAUAUUAGUCCAAACUUAAGACAUAAUUGAGAAUAUUGUCCCCC